AUUGAACGCUGGCGGCAGGCCUAACACAUGCAAGUCGAACGGUAACAGGAAGCAGCUUGCUGCUUUGCUGACGAGUGGCGGACGGGUGAGUAAUGUCUGGGAAACUGCCUGAUGGAGGGGGAUAACUACUGGAAACGGUAGCUAAUACCGCAUAACGUCGCAAGACCAAAGAGGGGGACCUUCGGGCCUCUUGCCAUCGGAUGUGCCCAGAUGGGAUUAGCUAGUAGGUGGGGUAACGGCUCACCUAGGCGACGAUCCCUAGCUGGUCUGAGAGGAUGACCAGCCACACUGGAACUGAGACACGGUCCAGACUCCUACGGGAGGCAGCAGUGGGGAAUAUUGCACAAUGGGCGCAAGCCUGAUGCAGCCAUGCCGCGUGUAUGAAGAAGGCCUUCGGGUUGUAAAGUACUUUCAGCGGGGAGGAAGGGAGUAAAGUUAAUACCUUUGCUAAUUGACGUUACCCGCAGAAGAAGCACCGGCUAACUCCGUG
rnacentral:rRNA from 1 species